rnacentral:rRNA from 1 species
AUUGAACGCUGGCGGCAUGCUUUACACAUGCAAGUCGAACGGUAACAGGCCGCAAGUUGCUGACGAGUGGCGGACGGGUGAGUAAUGCAUCGGAACGUGCCCAGUCGUGGGGGAUAACUACUCUAAAGAGUAGCUAAUACCGCAUACGAUCUAUGGAUGAAAGCGGGGGACCGUAAGGCCUCGCGCGAUUGGAGCGGCCGAUGUCAGAUUAGGUAGUUGGUGGGGUAAAGGCUCACCAAGCCAACGAUCUGUAGCUGGUCUGAGAGGACGACCAGCCACACUGGGACUGAGACACGGCCCAGACUCCUACGGGAGGCAGCAGUGGGGAAUUUUGGACAAUGGGCGCAAGCCUGAUCCAGCAAUGCCGCGUGCAGGAAGAAGGCCUUCGGGUUGUAAACUGCGUUUGUACGGAACGAAACGGCUCUGGUUAAUACCCGGGGCUAAUGACGGUACCGUAAGAAUAAGCACCGGCUAACUACGUG